ensembl:lncRNA
UUUUAAAAGGGAAAACUUUAGAAAAGGCCUUUGCACCACAAGUGGACAUGGAACACAAAGCACUUGAAGGGUGCUUUAAGAUAAUGAAUGAGUGUUUGAAACAUAAAUGGCCCCAUCAUGCCAGUUACGAAUCACUACUACAACUGAGCAAGAGACUUGGAUGCACUUACUUUCAGGGACUGCAGGUAUUUUUCGUUUGUUUCACUAAACAAAACUGUAUUAUUUAAUAUGAAUCUAAUGCACUUCUUUUAGGCUAGUUCGAACACAACAUAUACUAGCAGCCACAUUAUCGAUGAGCAGUUAGAAAUAAUAGGGAAGUGGAUGGAUGACUAGCUACUGAAAAAAGUUUCAAAGUCACCUGCCUGGGGCCUCAUGGUGGAUUAGACCACAGACUUCUCCGUUGAAAAACAGCUUGGUGAUGUUAUCAACUUUCUUGGUUUAGAUGAUGUUGGUCAGACAGUGCCCAAAUCAAAAGUUUUACAGGUGGCAAAGGUUAAGGCUGGAGAUGCUGCCACCAUAACCGAAACCAUACUGAACAUAACAGUAGAAAAAUGCCUUCCUACAGCCACUCUUGCAUCAUUUGCCAGUGAUGGUGCUUCUGUUAUGAUUGGCAAGAAAACUGGAGUGAGUAAGAGGCUUAAGGACCAUUUCCCUGGACAUAUCACUGUCCACUGUGUUGCCCAUCAUCUCAAUCUUGCAGUGUCAGAUUGCUUGAACAAAAAGGGGGUGUCUUACCUAACCAAAUACUGCAGAACCAUGUUGACAAUGUUAUGUUUCUAUCAAGCAAGCAGUACAAGAACAUGCAGUCUCAGAGAGAUGGAGAAAUUAUUUGAGCUUCCACAACUAAAACUGCAGGGUGGAAACCAAACUAGAUGGGAGAGUAACAAAGAGGCCACUGAUGUAGUUCGAAAGAUCCUCCUAGCCCUUCUGGCAGACCUGUCACUUCAGGCUAGAACAGAACCAACAGCCCAAGGUCUUUACAACUUUGCCAAGGCAGAGUUCUUCCCUCCAGCACUCUGCCUCAUGCAGAUUGUGCAUGAGAAGCUGCACAGACAGUUUCAAGUGUUCCAAAGACACAAUCUCUUCUUUUCUCAAGUUGAACAGGAGGUCUGAACAUAAAGCCACAGACUUACUAAUUUAACAUAUUAAUAGCCUAUUUAGAGCUGUGCUAUUUUUCUGUAUUUAGGUGACAGCACUUCAGUCUUCCCUUGGCGAGCUCAAAAUCAAA